GUGAACUGAAAUAUCUAAGUAGCCAGAGGAAAGGACAUCAACCGAGACUCCGUUAGUAGUGACGAGCGAACGCGGACCAGGCCAGUGGCACACAUGGAAGAACCGGAACCGUCUGGAAAGUCGGGCCUCAGCGGGUGAUAGCCCCGUACGGGUAGAAGAACGAUUGGGCCUCGAGUAGGGCGGGACACGUGAAAUCCUGUCUGAACAUGGGGGGACCACCCUCCAAGCCUAAGUACUCCUUGUCGACCGAUAGCGAACAAGUACCGUGAGGGAAAGGUGAAAA
rnacentral:rRNA from 14 species